rnacentral:rRNA from 1 species
ACGGAAGGCAGCAGUGAGGAAUAUUGGUCAAUGGGCGAGAGCCUGAACCAGCCAAGUAGCGUGCAGGAUGACGGCCCUAUGGGUUGUAAACUGCUUUUGUGCGGGAAUAACGUGCUCCACGUGUGGGGCAGUGCAUGUACCGUACGAAUAAGGAUCGGCUAACUCCGUGCCAGCAGCCGCGGUAAUACGGAGGAUCCGAGCGUUAUCCGGAUUUAUUGGGUUUAAAGGGAGCGUAGGCGGAAGGUCAAGUCAGCUGUGAAAUGUAGUCGCUCAACGUCUGCACUGCAGUUGAAACUGGCCUCCUUGAGUGCGUAAGAGGCAGGCGGAAUUCGUCGUGUAGCGGUGAAAUGCUUAGAUAUGACGAAGAACUCCGAUCGCGAAGGCAAGUGUCCGGAGUGCAACUGACGCUGAGGCUCGAAAGUGUGGGUAUCAAACAGGAUUAGAUACCCUGGUA